rnacentral:rRNA from 1 species
GUUGGGAUUAGAGUUUAGAUCCUGGCUCAGAUUGACCCUUGCAUAAAGAGGGCAUGCCUUACACAUGCAAGUCGAACGGCAGCACGGGAGCUUGCUCCUGGUGGCGAGUGGCGAACGGGUGAGUAAUACAUCGGAACGUACCCAGGAGUGGGGGAUAACGUAGCGAAAGUUACGCUAAUACCGCAUAUUCUGUGAGCAGGAAAGCGGGGGAUCGCAAGACCUCGCGCUCUUGGAGCGGCCGAUGUCGGAUUAGCUAGUUGGUGAGGUAAAAGCUCACCAAGGCGACGAUCCGUAGCAGGUCUGAGAGGAUGAUCUGCCACACUGGGACUGAUACACGGCCCAUAUUUUUUAUUGGAGGCAGCAGCGGGGAAUUUUGGACAAU